CAAUAAUUAUUAUGAUCCAAUAUUUUCUUGCACUUAGUGACGUGAAUUAUCGGACAUCGAAUUUGAACGCUAGGUAGUUUUAAUGCCGACGGCUUAAAACGUGAUAGGUAAAACACGAGAUUUGAUAUUGAUUCGAUUGAACGGUUAGACAUGGCGAUCCGCGGGCCUCCGGUGCUCCGGUAGAAAAACAUCGGUCCGCGUUAUUGCUUGACGACCGUCGAUUAAAUAGUAUUAAUUCGUUUAUUGAUAUCGAUUAUCACGACACACCGAAUAACUGUAUUGUUAAAGUUCUCCUUACAUUACUUACACUCGCCCGAUUUCGCCGCGAAACUCCGCGUCGUAAUGAAGUGUUUUUAUCGUCACCGUACGACAAAACGAUUUCCCCUGGCCCGUCCACCCACUUCCCGGACAGAUGACUACAAUAAUAAUAAUACAAGUUUUAAAACUGAACCGCUAGUCCCGGUCGACGUAUUUGUGUCCUAUUUUUUACAAAUCCCCGCGCCUAACCUAAAUGCCGAGACGACCCUAUUAUUAUUAUCGUUAUUAUUAUCGCCGUUGUCGCCGGUACUUUUAUUAUUAUUAUUUUUUUUUUUUUACAUUGUUCUUUUCCUUUCUUUUUUUUUUUUCAUUUCCCGACGUCGUAAACUCGCGCUACAAAGCCGCUUUCAGUUGGGCGGGACGGCCGAUGGGGCGAAGGGAUUCGGACAUUAUAUUGCGUUUAUGACGACGAAACGAUCGUUUUUGCGUUUCUCCUCCGAGCGGCAGCAGCAGCAGCAGCGACCGAAACGACGUGUAGUAUUCCGAGCCAUUUGCUCGGCGACCGUAUUUUAUCACCUACGUUUCGACGCACCGGGCGUAUUAUAUUAUUAUAUAUACACAGUUACUUAUGAUCGAAAAUUUCCUGGACCGGGUCUUCUUCGAUUCGGGCGGAAAACCGCACUUUAAAUAUUGCGGCAAAAAAAAAAAAAAUAAUAAUAAUAAAAACUAUUCGCCAAAAGCCCGCCGCGUAUCCCGCGGACUCGCGGGGCCAUUUCGUCACGAUUUCCCUUUGGCGGUAUAUUUCAUUUUUUUUUUUUAACAAAAAGUCAAUAACACUAUAUCGGUACGGCUUAUAUUGAUCGUUCCGCGAGAAAAUGACACGAUAUUAAUAUAAAAAAUUCUCAAACGGGAUUAUUGCGGAACGCCGCGGAGUAACGUGCGCGCGAUCAUAUUAUUUGAAAUUAUUGUAUACUUAUUUAUUUGAAAAAUUCAACGAGCCAUAAAUGACGAGAUAAAAAAUAUAAAGUUU